CCCCUUAUGACCUGGGCUACACACGUGCUACAAUGGUUGGUACAACGAGUUGCGAGUCGGUGACGGCGAGCUAAUCUCUUAAAGCCAAUCUCAGUUCGGAUUGUAGGCUGCAACUCGCCUACAUGAAGUCGGAAUCGCUAGUAAUCGCGGAUCAGCACGCCGCGGUGAAUACCGGUUCCCGGGCCCUU
rnacentral:rRNA from 1 species